rnacentral:rRNA from 1 species
UACAGAGGUCUCAAGCGUUGUUCGGAUUCAUUGGGCGUAAAGGGUGCGUAGGCGGCGCGGUAAGUCGGGUGUGAAAUCUCGGAGCUUAACUCCGAAACUGCAUUCGAUACUGCCGUGCUUGAGGACUGGAGAGGAGACUGGAAUUUACGGUGUAGCGGUGAAAUGCGUAGAUAUCGUAAGGAAGACCAGUGGCGAAGGCGGGUCUCUGGACAUUACCUGACGCUGAGGAGCGAAAGUGUGGGGAGCGAACAGG